rnacentral:rRNA from 1 species
AAUGAACGCUGGCGGCAUGCCUUACACAUGCAAGUCGAACGGCAGCACGAUCUAGCUUGCUAGGUUGAUGGCGAGGGGCGAACGGGUGAGAAAUGCAUCGGAACGCGCCUUUUUGUGGGGGACAACGUAGCGAAAGGUACGAUAAUACCGCAGAGUCUCUGAGGCGGAAAGCGGGGGAGCAUGGUGCCGUGCGCUGGUAGAGCGGCCGAGGUCGUAUUAGCUAGUUGGUGAGGUAUAGUCUCAACAAGGCAGCGGGCUGGAGCGGGUCUGAGAGGAUGAUCAGCCACACUGAGACUGAGACCCGGCCCAGACGCCUAGGGGAGGCAGCAGUGGUGAAUUUUGGACAAUGGGCGGAAGCCUUAUCAAGCCGUGCCGCAUGAGUAAGGAGGGCCUUCGGGUUGUAAAGCUCUUUCUGCUGGAAAGAAAUCGCUCCCUCUAAUACCGGGGGUGGAUGACGGUACCAGCGUAAAAAGCACCGGCUAACUACGUG